UUUACCUGACUCGAUGCCCUUUCCUAAGCAAACUUCCUUUGCAGAACAGGUUUGGGGCCAUUGAUGGUUUUAGGAAUUGCCAAUAUCCUCUGCUAAUGCCAUCAGCACCUCACAGCUCCUCGGAGAGCAGCUCCAGGAGAAGGGCCUGAGCUCAGCAGGGUGAACUGGUGAUCUGUGCCCUACUUAGCUGGUGUAUAUAUUUGUCAGUAAGUGGGGCACUCAAUAACCUCGGAUCUGACAGCCUUCAGAUCCUGUAUGGAGAAAUGUCAAUCAUUCUGGCUUACAUUAAACAUCUUCCCAGGCAUCUGGAUUAUAUUAUAAUAUCCUAUCAGUGCCAAAUUAUAAACAUGAACCACACAUGCUAAUCUCUUGAUUCUCGCUUAUUUCCCUUUCAGACAGUCCAUGGAAGAAGAAAAAAAAUGUAUUUUGUCAGCAAAAUAAAAUUAUAAACCACGUGUGAGGGAGGGUGGAGCCAUCACCCGGUGCCUCUCCUGAGCCAACUAUGGAUUUUUGCAAUAAAUUUACUCUGCUCCAAGGCCAGGAGCCCAGGCCAGCACGGGGGUGUGAACAUCCUUGGAGGUACCCACAGCUCCAGCUCUUCUCAGGUAGGACAGAAAAAAAAGAGGAAUCUUCUUGCACACCCUAAGGACACAGAGCUGGAAGAGCUUGGCAGCACUUUCUGAGAGGUGCAGAACCUUCCUUGGGAGCCUUCUCCGAGGAGCUGCUCCUGUCCCAUGGAGCAGCAGAAACUGCCCACUGUAGAUCUCAGACCAAGUGGGAUCCAACAGGAGGAGGUGGACAGGCCCUUCCCAAGGAGAAUGUUAGAAAUCCAUAGGUUUGAAGCCUGCCAUAUCCCUUUUGCCACAAUGACCUUCAGAUGACCUUGCUUCCCAGUGUGAGAGGAGCAGCAGAAGUGGUUUCAGUCCACUGCUACUGGAAUGGACUGGGCAGUUUGCCAAGUGAAUAUCUGCUGGGUUAAUCACUGUGCAAAUCUAAUCAGGAACUGGAAUGUGCCAGGCUCAUUACCGAAAUUAAAUUCACCUCCAAUUAAAGAGAGAGCUACAAGCUUCCAUCGUGCAGAGGUGCCCCCGGGCUGCCGCUCCCAAAACCAACAUCAAAUCCAGUCCUGCUGAACUGCAGGUUUGCUGAGCUCUGGAGGUAUUUCCAGGUGUGAGAAAGUGAACUGCUGCUUGUGAUUUCCCCCAAGGCUCUCUAAGGAGUUUACUGAUGCCUUUAAUAAGUCACCUUGCAAGUCAGGAGUCACUUCAAUGGUAGCAUUUCCAAGGAGCACUCGCCAAGAGAAAUCUGGGGACACAGUAACUGGAACACCUCCCAUGGCAGGAUUGUUCUUGUGAGCACCUUUACAAAUUCUCACCUUCACAUGCUGCAUCUUUCCUUGAGACCUACGCACCUUAUGUCUACACUGUGGAGCCCAAAUUAAGACAUUAGGUUUGUGCUGAGAACAAGACUGCAGAGUCAAGCAGGCAAAGUGUAGAGAUGCUGACUGAAAAGUUGUUCAAGCUUCAUUUGCCUCUUUGGCUUCUACAUUACACUUGCACAGCCUAAUCUCAUCAUCACUGCACAUCACAUCAUCUCUGCCUCCAUCUGUGAUUCACCUGGGCAUUAUCUGAUUGCAGGGAAAAACUUUUAAUAUCUUAGGUCUAAAUAUGUGCCUGUAACUGAAAUCCAGCUCUGAAGACUUGGCAGGACUGCAGAUGUAAUUCCUGACCUUCUCCUUUUCUCCUCCAGUACUAGAAUAAAAAACAAUCCACUAAGAUUAGGGAUUGGCUUCCACCUGGAGAUGGCAAACAUGGGUGCAAAACUUGAAGGUUUCCUGUACACAUGUCCUUGGUCCACUCACACCUUCCACUGCCUACUCUAAAAACCACAAGUAUAUCCAAAAAUAUAUCUGGAGUCUGAAAUCCUCCAUCCUCAUGCCCAGAAA